UACGAAGGGGCUAGCGUUGCUCGGAAUCACUGGGCGUAAAGCGCACGUAGGCGGCUUCUUAAGUCAGGGUGAAAUCCUGGAGCUCAACUCCAGAACUGCCCUUGAUACUGGCGGUCUCGAGUCCGGGAGAGGUGAGUGGAACUGCGAGUGUAGAGGUGAAAUUCGUAGAUAUUCGCAAGAACACCAGUGGCGAAGGCGGCUCACUGGCCCGGUACUGACGCUGAGGUGCGAAAGCGUGGGGAGCCAAACAGGGAUUAAGAUGACCCGUGUAGUUCCA
rnacentral:rRNA from 1 species